rnacentral:lncRNA from 12 species
GGUGCUUUCCAAAAGUCGUCUCAUUAACAUAACAAAAGACACCUUUACUGCUCUCAUUACAGGAAAUUCCAAGGAUUUGAGGAGCCAUAUACCAGAAAGGAGGACAAAGACCAAACACAGAUUUCUUGUUACAAAUCACGAUAUCGCAGAAGGUCUCACAGAAUGUGCCUGGCAGAUUAGCCACCCCAGCCUCCAGGUCGAUAUCAAACAUAGAGCCAACUCUGUCCUCUUGAGGAUCUUGGACUCAGCCCACCCCUCAAGAAGCUGGUGGAGCUAGCAGGGGAUUUCUGGUCUGCCUGCUGCGGCCAGGAAUCCAGUGGGCAUGGUAAGCGAUGUGAAGAUUGUUCAACAGACAACCCUGCGCCUCAGACCCCAGCUCUCCUGGGCUUGGAAACAAGGUGCAGUUUGGGGGUGUCUUGCCCUCCACACACAACCAUAAAAACACGUUUCUGCAAAUUCCAGGAUAUUCAGAGGGGAAAGAGAGAGUGAUGUCUGUGUUCUCUUCUUUUCUUCCGGGGACAUGUUUCUCCCUCCUCUGAUUCCAGUCAUUCCAUUUCCUAAAUUGGCCCAGCUACCCAGCUAGGAGUUACAGGGGAGAGGGGGUUGGGGGCUGGACGUGGCUGCAGAGAGCCGUUUUGCAUUACAAAAGCAGAACUGCUCCACCAGAAAACGAC